rnacentral:rRNA from 1 species
AGAGUUUGAUCCUGGCUCAGAUUGAACGCUGGCGGCAUGCCUUACACAUGCAAGUCGAACGGUAACGCGGGGCAACCUGGCGACGAGUGGCGAACGGGUGAGUAAUGUAUCGGAACGUGCCCAGUUGUGGGGGAUAACUGCUCGAAAGAGCAGCUAAUACCGCAUACGACCUGAGGGUGAAAGCGGGGGAUCGCUAGACCUCGCGCAAUUGGAGCGGCCGAUAUCAGAUUAGGUAGUUGGUGGGGUAAAGGCUCACCAAGCCGACGAUCUGUAGCUGGUCUGAGAGGACGACCAGCCACACUGGGACUGAGACACGGCCCAGACUCCUACGGGAGGCAGCAGUGGGGAAUUUUGGACAAUGGACGCAAGUCUGAUCCAGCCAUGCCGCGUGCGGGAAGAAGGCCUUCGGGUUGUAAACCGCUUUUGUCAGGGAAGAAAAGGCUCCUUCUAAUAUAGGGGGCUCAUGACGGUACCUGAAGAAUAAGCACCGGCUAACUACGUGCCAGCAGCCGCGGUAAUACGUAGGGUGCAAGCGUUAAUCGGAAUUACUGGGCGUAAAGCGUGCGCAGGCGGUUAUGCAAGACAGAGGUGAAAUCCCCGGGCUCAACCUGGGAACUGCCUUUGUGACUGCAUAGCUAGAGUACGGUAGAGGGGGAUGGAAUUCCGCGUGUAGCAGUGAAAUGCGUAGAUAUGCGGAGGAACACCGAUGGCGAAGGCAAUCCCCUG